rnacentral:rRNA from 1 species
GACGAACCGAGCGAACGUUGUUCGGAAUCACUGGGCUUAAAGGGCGCGUAGGCGGGCUGCGGCGUCCGGGGUGAAAUCCUCCCGCUUCACGGGAGAACGGCCUCGGAUACGGGCGGCCUGGAGGGGGGUAGGGGCGUGCGGAACUGUGGGUGGAGCGGUGAAAUGCGUUGAGAUCCACAGGAACUCCGGUGGCGAAGGCGGCACGCUGGACCCCACCUGACGCUGAGGCGCGAAAGCCAGGGGAGCGAACGGG